rnacentral:rRNA from 1 species
UACUUCUUCCGAGGGGGCUAGCGAAGGAAACUACCGGCAAACUAGCACCAGUCUGAUCAGAAGCUGAAACAAAGCUGGCAAUCUACGAACGACAAAAGCGACAACCAAAACUGGCACACGGUAAAGCUCCACGCUCACGCGGGAGAGGGGCGUUCGGCGCACGUGCAGCGCGGUAAACGCCCCCGCACCCAGGGAAAGGAUGCUAUGGCACCAGAAACGGGGACGAGGUAGGCUGGAGGUACCGCCUGCUCCCGGGCUAGGCGCGGCUGCGGCACGGCCGCCGCCGGCCCCGCCCGCGCCUCUCCCGGCUACGCCGCCGACGCCCGCCCCACCGCCGCCGGUUCCGGUCCCUCCUGCUCCAACCGGUGCCCGCCCCGCCGCCGCCGGUUCCGAUCCUUCCUGCUCCAGUCCCUCAUGUUCUCACUGCACUCCUUCGACCUCCUCGACAAGUUCUUCGACUUGGGGAGGCACCUCCUCAAGCACGGCGAGAAGGAAGCGGUCCUCCUGUCGCGUACGGCGGACAGCCGGCUGCGCGAGCAGAAACGGAGCGGGCGCUAGCUGAUGAUACGAGGAGGCAGGUGGCUGAGACAGGCACGUCCAGCGGUCAAAGGAAAGCGCGGUUGGAAGAGGUGACAGAGGGGUCAAGUAGGAGGCAGGGAACGACGAGCUCUAAGAGUAGACGAGUCCGACGCUCCUUCUGUGCACUCCUCCUCUCUGGAGCAGAGCUCUUCGGGCCUCCUCCCCGACUUUGUCUCUCCUCGUCUACGGUCGGUCGAACCAAAAGUCAAACUGAUACAUAAACUGACCUGUUAUAACUUCAUGGUCGUUAGAGUUUAACGACCACGAGACGGAGCACAACGUCGUUAUAACUACUCAUUAACCGAAUAUUAUUUCAACGGUCUUUCAAAGAAACGAAGAUACCGAUUGAACUUGGUCUACCAGUGGCCAACCAGGAGGAGAAGAGAGGAGCGCGGUAGCAGGAGGAGGAGUAGGUAGAGAGCUAAGUCGGUUCUGUUACCCCUAGUUCUGAUAGAUUGUCGACUGGAAGAACGAACGUCACCAUGUCCACACUAGAAGUACCUCGAUCGUUAGUAACCUAAACCUCAAAGGAUGGAAAGAAGACGUUUAGACCUUACGGAAAUACCGUACUAGAGCACU